AGAAUAUUAUUGAAAUUAUUUGAGGCAAAAUUAUUAAUAAAAGUAAUUUUAGAGAGUAAGUUUUAGUAUAGUUUAUGGAAUUUAUAGAGAGGAUGAUAGUGGAUUAGUACUGUGAGGGAAAUAUGAAAUAAUAUGAAAUAAUUAUUAGGUUAGAAGAAGAAUAAAGUUUGUACCUUGGGUAUCAGGGUUUAUUAAUUAAUAAUAAUGAGUUAUGUUCUCGAAUUAAGAAGAGUUAAAAUAGUAUAAUAGUUAAUGUGUUAUUAUUAUUAUUAAUAUUAUUUUAGGGAUGAAAUGUUAAACGUUUUUUAAGUUAUCUAGUUUCCUAAGAAAUGAAUUUAAUUCAGGAUAUUAAGAGUAAGAAUUUAAUUUAUAAUUAAUGGUUUGUUUUUAAUAUCAAAUAUGCAAGGGGAUAAGCUUUUGUGUAAAUACUAUAAAUUGUGGAUUAUGGAAAGAGUAGUAGGCUUUAAAUUAGCUAUCAAUGAGAUGAUGUUAUAAAUUGUUUUAUUAGAAGAUUAUUUUUUAUUAGUUUUAGUUUGUUUAUUAGGAUAUUAUAUUAAACAGGUUAAUAUAAGUAAUGAUGAUAAAAUGAGUAUAAAAAAAUUGUUUAUAUAAAUUUGUAUGAGAAUUUAUAAUAAGGAAUUAGGCAAAAGAAAAUCACUCGCCUGUUUAUCAAAAACAUCUCCUUUUGUAUAUAUUUAAGGUAGGGCCUGCCCACUGAAAAUAAAUUAAAGGGCCGCGGUAUUAUGACCGUGCAAAGGUAGCAUAAUCAUUAGUCUUUUAAUUGAAGGCUGGAAUGAAUGGUUUGACGAGGUGAUGACUGUCUCAGUAUAAUAUAUAGAAGUUAACUUUUAAGUUAAAAGGCUUAAAUAUUAAUGGAGGACGAGAAGACCCUAUAGAGCUUUAUAUAUAGAUUUAAGUUUGUAUUUAGAUGUUUAUAAAAAUUUAGAUUGAUUAUAUUAUGUUGGGGUGACAUAAAGAUAAAAUUAACUCUUUAUUUUUGGAACAUUGAUGUAUGGAUUUUUGAUCCAUUUUUAGUGAUUAUAAGAUUAAGUUACCUUAGGGAUAACAGCGUAAUUUUUUUUGAGAGUUCAUAUCGACAGAGAAGAUUGCGACCUCGAUGUUGGAUUAAGGAAUAUAAUUGGAUGCAGCAGUUUAAUUAAUAGGUCUGUUCGACCUUUAAAUCCUUACAUGAUCUGAGUUCAGACCGGUGUAAGCCAGGUCGGUUUCUAUCCUUAUUUUCUUUUUAUACUUUAGUACGAAAGGACCAAGUAUUUUAAAUAUUUUAUUUUAUUUGAUUAAUAGUA
rnacentral:rRNA from 1 species